AGAGAGGUGGCCGAGUGGCUUAAGGCGCACGCUUGGAAAGCGUGUAUACGGUAACGUAUCGGGGGUUCGAAUCCCUUCCUCUCUG
rnacentral:tRNA from 2 species